rnacentral:lncRNA from 1 species
GGACCAAACUCUCAUACAUCCAUAACAACAUUAAUUAAAGUUUAAAAAUGAAGUCAGAUGGACAACUCCGACAUAGACCCAAGAAAAGCUCCGAAACGUUGGAGUCGAAGUCAUUUUCUAUAGUUUUUUCCUUCCUCUUUUUUUUUUUUUGACAAACCUGGAAGGUCGUGCAAACCAUUGCCAGUGGCGUGAAUUUUCCGGUACCGAAAAGGGCCGCAGGUUGGGCGGUGGA